UUGUUGUCAUUCAGGUUAGUGCCUUCAGGGGUAGUGAUCUAUUCCAGAAUUCAAAUAAGAAGAGGCAAUUACAUGGCAAAGUCAAUACAAAUGAUGUGGUAUUACCUGAGGUACCUGAGGCAGCUGAUUAUGUGGAUCAACAGGUGCUCUACCAUCAAUACAUGGCACAAUGGUCAGGUUACUUGGAAUGUUCUUCUUACCUAAUCUCCGUUCACAGGCAUGGCAGUUUUGCUUUAGUUCUCUUCUUUCUUGGACAGCCAGCUGGUUUUACAAUUCGUGGGGGCAGUGGUUUAGGAGCAUCAUUUGGUUCCCAGAAUUCUUCACUAAACACAGGGUUGAUGCAAAUAUCAUAGAUCUUUCUUAUGCCAUCCAUCGUGAGAAAUGGUGAAACAAAAUUCUCGACUGCCUUGUCUUUGACCCUUGAGAUAGCUCCAACAGCAUGAACACAAGGUUACAGGUGCAUGUAUGUUGCUGCAAGUUUACUCCGAGCUUGUGUGAGUUUCUGGUUACUUUGAAUUUGACUUUUUCAUUAUCACAUACCACUGUGCAUUCUAUUUGUGACUUGCUGGCUUGAUGUAUCUGUCAAGCCUCAUUUGUUGAGUUGGUGCCAACUUUCCUAUAUAAGCCCCUAAUAUCCUUUUGUGCUUUGCCAUUUUCUUCAUUAUGUGACACCUUGGCUUCAGUAAUAACAGCAUUCCAGACCUCAGACAUGUUAUUGGUGACAGCACCAUUCUUGGGGUAGUGGCUGAAGACUGCCCUGCACCACCUAGAAGGCUCAAACUUGCUCAUAUACUCCCAAGCUCCAAAAUUAACUAUCUUCAACCUAUCCAUUGCAGCCUUUAAUUGUAUCUGCAUAGUGUACCUUGAGGUAGCCAUGACAUACGACUUCACAUUCUUAUCCCUAAACCUCAACUCACAAUUCUUUUCAAAUAUGCAAGAUGCAAUUGCAAUGUUGUGCAUUAGGCAAAACUUCACUAACAACCCUUAUCAGCCCCUAUUCAGAAUAGUAUCAACAUGUAAUCAAAUAUACUCCUUAGUU